UAUCGAUGAUGCAACGAAAACAGGGAUUGUAAAAUAAAAAUAAAAAAUCACGAGUGACAUAAAACAUGGAAGGAUCCAUGCUAAUGGAAUAUCGAUGCACAUAGCAGAGAAAGGGCAAGUACCUCUUGUUCUUCUCAUUCAUGGCUUCUCUGAAUCAUGUGUCCUGGUCCUGAGAGUGUAUUUAUGGAAGGGCAUGACUUGACUGGGGUGCAGAAGUGGCACCUUUUGCCAUUUCAGGCCAGGUAGAGUGAGGGCAGUUGUUAACUUAAGCGUCGCCUGCCGGACACGUUCCAGAGAAAUCAAACCUACCAAAUUAUUUGACGGGAUUUCUGGAGAAGGGUUCUACAUUUUUCAAUUUCAGGAGGCAGGAAGAGCUGAAAAGUCACUCGCUAAAUAUUAAAAUUACGUGUUUUCCGAGUGUUUGUUUUUUUUUUAGUUUUCAUCUACAUCACAAAUCUGUUUAGAUUUCUAGUUAGAUCAAAUAAGAUACUUUACCUAAUAAGAUUUGAUUGAUUUAGUUAAGUUUUUAGUAACCUAGUUAGCUUAAUAAACCAUUAAUCAUCCCGGUAACUCGGACUCCUUUUGAAUUGGUAACUAUAGUUAUGAUUUUUCACAUGAGCAUCCUUCAUGUAUUUACUUGUUUAAGUUCGGGUUGGAAAAUUGGAAAAUUUAUAUUCACGGAAUGUAUUCUUUUUUUUUUAUGAACUAACUUGGAUCUUCUUGCACUACGGCAGAGAGCUAAUAUUACUGUCCCCACAAAAUUGAUAGUCGGUGGCAAAGAUGUGGGUUUUCUGGCAUUUGGUACAAAGGACUGUGUUAAUGGAGAAAUAUCCAGGGAGCUUUUACCUAGCCUUGAAGUGGGUUUCAUUGAUGAGCUCGGCAGGAGAAAGCUGAACUAGUCUCGAAUCAGAUCUUGUCAUUUUUCAGCAAGAAAUCACUUCUAUGAUGAAUAAAUAAUGUACGCUGGGAUUUAAAGAUACAACUUUUACUGUGAUCUAUUGUUGUUUCACUGCUUACAAGGACAUUACUGGAUGGUUUUAA